CUGCUUUCAUGGCUUCCGCUAAGAUGCAAGAAAAAAAUUCCUCGCGCUUUCUGCCUGCUUGAUUUGUAGCAGUCCAGAUUUAGUAGAGGAAGACAAGU